UCCCUGAAUGACGAGUUGAUCACGAAUGAACCACGUCAACCCUGGACGGAAAAUCUCUUCCUGUGCCCAGUUCCCUCUACACCGGUUACCUGGCUGUCUCGGGAGAGAUGGCGACCUCCCAGAAGUUGACAGAACACUUCCUGACAUGCACCAUAUGUACAGAGGUGUUUGACAAGCCCUGUACACUUGUGUGUAAUCACACCUUCUGUCGGAAAUGUGUCGUCAACUACACCAAAACCAGACCAGAAGCCCUCAGUGCCAAGUCUCUCCUGUGUCCAUUCUGCAGGAAGAUGACGAAAGUGUCUGACCCCGAGAGACCAGUGGAGGAGUGGGCGGAUGACGUCAAGCCUAUCUUUGUCAUCCAGGGACUGUUGGACUCGUUUGGCCCCGGAUCUAAAGAUACAACUAACUGCAGUUAUUGUAAGGAGGAAGGGGAGACAACUCCAGCUACAUCUUGGUGUUCUGUUUGUGACGACGCACUAUGUGAACAAUGUACAAGGAUGCACCAACGAACCCCCUCUUUCCGUCACCAUGACGUAGUUGACCUGUCUGGUGAGACAAAGGUCAAGGUCAAGAGAAAGGUCAUGUGUAAAGUUCACAAGAAUAAAAGGAUCAAAUAUCUUUGUAAAGAUUGUAAAACAGCUGUUUGUCAAACAUGCUGCACGAUCCAUCACAGGAAAUGUGAUAUGGUUGUUGAAAUUGAGUCAGAGAUUCCUGCAAUGAAAACCGAGCUGAAAAGGAAUAAAGAGAAUUUGUUAAAGAAAGACAAUGAGAUGAAAAGAUAUGUUGGAAAACAAAACUCCCUUGUCAAAGAAGAAUUGGCGCUAUAUAUACAAAUAGAAUCAAAUAUCAAGUCUGCAAGUCUCACUGCAAUACAGAUGAUCAAAGCCAAGGAACGGAAACUUCUGUCUGAACUGAAAGAGAUGUCUGACAGACACAUUGGACAACUGAAGGCAGACGUAAAGUCAGGUGAGAUGUCAGUACAGAUGUACCAACAACAGGCUGAGCUGAUAGACCAGGCUCUACAAUCUGAGUGUGACAUGGAUGUGUAUGAGAUGUAUCAGGGAUGUGAGGCCGGUGAUGUGGAGGCUGUCGGAGUCGAAGACAUGAAGGAGAAGGGAAGAAUAGACAGGAUAACAUUCAGACAGGACACGGACAAGCUGAGUAGAGCACUGGAAGAUCUCCAUCUGGGUGAGAUACACGUCCAGUAUGACGAUGUGCUGGACCUGAAGGCUACCCCUGUGUUACAGGACACCAUUAACGUGACAGUAGCAGGAGAUGCAGGUGGGGGAGACCCCACUGAUGUGACGGUGUUAGAGGUGAAUGGUACAGACACAGUGGUAGUUACAGACUACAAGAACAACAGUGUAAAGUCCUUCUACACCAGGAACAGUCAGCCAGGUCACAGCAGGCUCAGUGUGGGAGGUGCACCACGGGGUAUAACAAGGCUGAAACACAACCAGGCAGCUGUCACUGUGCCGGAUACCAGUCAGAUUGUAACAGUUGAAGUGAACCCUGACCUGGUGCUGCUGUCGACCAUCACAACCAGCAAACAGUACCGGGGUAUAACGUCUCUGACACCAUCAACACUAGCAGCAAGUUCCCACUUCCCUCCCUGUGUUGAUAUCCUGGAUAUGUCGGGACACGUGCUGAAGUCAGUUUAUCCUCGCCCCAAUGGCGGAGACAUCUUACAGUAUCCCGACUCCCUCUGUACCACGAGGACAGGAAACAUCCUGGUGUCUGACUUGGGAACCAGGUGUGUCGUGUGUCUGACCCCCGAGGGAGAUGUGGUGUUCAACUACAGACCUACAGGAGACACAACAUGGAAGUAUUCACUUGGUAUCACAAGUACCAGCACAGGCGACAUCCUGGUGACAGACGAACCACAACACAGAGUCAUCCAUCUGACAGAGUCAGGACAGUUUGUUAGAAACAUACUGACAUCACAGGGUGGUGUCAAGAAACCAAGGGGACUGUGUUUUGGUGGGCGUGGUCGUAUGUACUUGUGUACACCAGAUGUAGUGAAGGUAUUUACAUGCUGUAAGUGAGUGAACAUGUCAGAACCCUUUUUUUGUAUUACAUAUAGAUAUAUAUGUUACCUGGAUAGAUAUGAUGUGAUGCACUGUAGGAACAUUUGACUUUUGAUGUGAACGUGACGAAUCAUACUUGUAGAAAGACACAACUUGUAAUGUAAUGAGGGUUGGCGGGGUAGCCUAGUGGUUAAAGCGUUCGCUCGUCACGCCGAAGACCUGGGUUUGAUUCCUUACAUGGGUACAAUGUGUGAAGCCCAUUCCUGGUGUCCCAAACCGUGAUAUUGCUCGAAUAUGGCUAAAAAGCUAAAACCAUACUCUCUCACCUACUGGAAUGUAAUGUAAUGUAAUGUAAUGUAAGAAGCCAUUACUUCUACUUUAUAUUCAGAUAUAUUGUCUCAAUAACACUAUGUGGUCCAAAAUCAUCUAGAAUAUUGAUAUUUUGAGAUGUAAUGAUUUUGAAUCACUUUUUCUUUAAGUGACUUUGAUGAACAAUUGUUUUACAAACUUUACUGAAUGGGUUGUAGGUCUUAUGGCAUGUUUAACAGCGGUUUUCACUCUCUUCUCGACAUGUUGUGUGAAAGGCAUAGCAGGGCAAUCGUCUUUGCUCACAUUUUAGCAACUCUGUAUACGUUAUUCUGAUCACAUUUAUGCUGUUCAUGUUAACUCAGUGCUGGAUACGGGGUCGUGUUUGAUUAUUACAAAAACAGACAAACUAGUUGGAGCAUGAAAUCAGUUUAGAGCAGCCAUUGUGGUCAAAGGGAGAUAAGUCGUUAUGAGAAGUAUACGAAGAGCCAUAAAAUGUAGCGAACGAAUGAAUAGUUUAUCAGUGAGUUAGUUGCGUUUUUACGCUGCUUUUAACAUUAUUCCACACAUUGUAAGUUGUUGGGAAUCGAACCCGGGUCUUCGUCAUGACGAACGAACAAUUUUUUACCACUGGGUUACCCCAGCCCCUAUUUUAUCACAAUUUGUGUUUAGUGUGAGUGUUGUACAUUGAUACGUGCAGUGUUUAUACCGACGUGUACAGUUAUAUACUCUCUGCCUCAUAUCAUUCAUUCACUUAAUGGAGGAGUAAGAAACGUUGUGUUCCUCAUAAUAAAGAAGCUGACAUCGA
rnacentral:misc_RNA from 1 species